GCCUGCCGGGCUCCUAGCAGCGGCCCUGCCCAUGCCCCGCUUCUCGGUGCCGGCGCGGGGGCGGCUGCUCGAAACCCCCCGGAGAGGCGCGCGCGGGGUGGCGGCUCUCGGCGCGGCCGGGGCUGAGCUUCAGAGCGCCAUGUCGGGCUCCGGCAGGAGGAGGAGCAGGAGGAG